UGGACGUAGCGUCCGGAGGCUGUGGAGAAGCGGAGGGGGCGAGCGUUAAUGGGAAUGACGGGGCGUAAAGGGUGGGCCGGCGGGUCCGCAUGUCGGGCGUGAAAUCCCCGGGCUUAACCUGGGAAUUGCGUCCGAAACUAUGGAGCUGGAGGGUGGCAGAGGGAGGUGGAAUUCCACGUGUAGCGGUGAAAUGCGUAGAGAUGUGGAGGAACACCGAUGGCGAAGGCAGCCUCCUGGGCCAACACUGACGCUCAUGCACGAAAGCGUGGGGAGCAAACAGGAUUAGAUACCCCUGUAGUC
rnacentral:rRNA from 1 species